rnacentral:rRNA from 1 species
CAGUCGCCGCGGUAAUACAGAGGGUGCGAGCGUUAAUCGGAUUUACUGGGCGUAAAGCGUGCGUAGGCGGCUUUUUAAGUCGGAUGUGAAAUCCCUGAGCUUAACUUAGGAAUUGCAUUUGAUACUGGGAAGCUAGAGUAUGGGAGAGGAUGGUAGAAUUCCAGGUGUAGCGGUGAAAUGCGUAGAGAUCUGGAGGAAUACCGAUGGCGAAGGCAGCCAUCUGGCCUAAUACUGACGCUGAGGUACGAAAGCAUGGGGAGCAAACAGGAUUAGAUACCCGCGUAGUCCCUGUCUCUUAUAC